rnacentral:rRNA from 1 species
UUGAACGCUGGCGGCAUGCUUUACACAUGCAAGUCGAACGGUAACAGGUUAAGCUGACGAGUGGCGAACGGGUGAGUAAUGCAUCGGAACGUGCCCGAUCGUGGGGGAUAACGCAGCGAAAGCUGCGCUAAUACCGCAUACGAUCUGAGGAUGAAAGCGGGGGACCGUAAGGCCUCGCGCGAUCGGAGCGGCCGAUGUCAGAUUAGGUAGUUGGUGGGGUAAAGGCUCACCAAGCCGACGAUCUGUAGCUGGUCUGAGAGGACGACCAGCCACACUGGGACUGAGACACGGCCCAGACUCCUACGGGAGGCAGCAGUGGGGAAUUUUGGACAAUGGGGGCAACCCUGAUCCAGCCAUUCCGCGUGAGUGAAGAAGGCCUUCGGGUUGUAAAGCUCUUUCAGCCGGAACGAAACGGUACGCUCUAACAUAGCGUGCUAAUGACGGUACCGGCAGAAGAAGCACCGGCUAACUACGU